rnacentral:rRNA from 1 species
AGUGAACGCUGGCGGUAGGCCUAACACAUGCAAGUCGAACGGCAGCACAGUAAGAGCUUGCUCUUACGGGUGGCGAGUGGCGGACGGGUGAGGAAUACAUCGGAAUCUACUUUUUCGUGGGGGAUAACGUAGGGAAACUUACGCUAAUACCGCAUACGACCUACGGGUGAAAGCAGGGGAUCUUCGGACCUUGCGCGAUUGAAUGAGCCGAUGUCGGAUUAGCUAGUUGGCGGGGUAAAGGCCCACCAAGGCGACGAUCCGUAGCUGGUCUGAGAGGAUGAGCAGGCACAGUGGAACUGAGACACGGUCCAGACUCCUACGGGAGGCAGCAGUGGGGAAUAUUGGACAAUGGGCGCAAGCCUGAUCCAGCCAUACCGCGUGGGUGAAGAAGGCCUUCGGGUUGUAAAGCCCUUUUGUUGGGAAAGAAAAGCAGCAGGUUAAUACCCCGCUGUUCUGACGGUACCCAAAGAAUAAGCACCGGCUAACUUCGUG